GACGAACGCUGGCGGCGUGCUUAACACAUGCAAGUCGAACGGAAAGGCCCUGCUUUUGUGGGGUGCUCGAGUGGCGAACGGGUGAGUAACACGUGAGUAACCUGCCCUUGACUUUGGGAUAACUUCAGGAAACUGAGGCUAAUACCGGAUAGGAGCUCCUGCUGCAUGGUGGGGGUUGGAAAGUUUCGGCGGUUGGGGAUGGACUCGCGGCUUAUCAGCUUGUUGGUGGGGUAGUGGCUUACCAAGGCUUUGACGGGUAGCCGGCCUGAGAGGGUGACCGGCCACAUUGGGACUGAGAUACGGCCCAGACUCCUACGGGAGGCAGCAGUGUGGAAUAUUGCACAAUGGGCGGAAGCCUGAUGCAGCAACGCCGCGUGCGGGAUGACGGCCUUCGGGUUGUAAACCGCUUUCGCCUGUGACGAAGCGUGAGUGACGGUAAUGGGUAAAGAAGCACCGGCUAACUACGUG
rnacentral:rRNA from 1 species